GCCAGUGUGGUGUAGUGGUUUGAUCACUGGACUUUGACUCUGGAGACCAAGGUUCGAAUCCCUGCUGGGACA
rnacentral:tRNA from 1 species